rnacentral:rRNA from 1 species
UACGUAGGGGACUAGCGUUAUCCGGAAUUACUGGGCGUAAAGGGAGCGUAGGCGGACUUUUAAGUGAGAUGUGAAAUACCCGGGCUCAACUUGGGUGCUGCAUUUCAAACUGGAAGUCUAGAGUGCAGGAGAGGAGAAUGGAAUUCCUAGUGUAGCGGUGAAAUGCGUAGAGAUUAGGAAGAACACCAGUGGCGAAGGCGAUUCUCUGGACUGUAACUGACGCUGAGGCUCGAAAGCGUGGGGAGCAAACAGGAUUAGAUACCCGCGUAGU